rnacentral:rRNA from 1 species
CGGGAAAAGCUCAAAUUUAAAAUCUGGCAGUCUUUGGCUGUCCGAGUUGUAAUUUAGAGAAGUGUUACCCGUGCUGGUCCAUGUGCAAGUCUGUUGGAAUAUAGCAUCAGAGAGGGUGAGAAUCCCGUCUACAACAUGGGUUACCAGUG